UACGUAGGGUGCAAGCGUUGUCCGGAAUUAUUGGGCGUAAAGAGCUCGUAGGCGGUUCGUCGCGUCGGCUGUGAAAUCCCGAGGCUCAACCUCGGGUCUGCAGUCGAUACGGGCGGACUGGAGUACUGCAGGGGAGACUGGAAUUCCUGGUGUAGCGGUGAAAUGCGCAGAUAUCAGGAGGAACACCGGUGGCGAAGGCGGGUCUCUGGGCAGUUACUGACGCUGAGGUGCGAAAGCGUGGGGAGCAAACAGG
rnacentral:rRNA from 1 species